rnacentral:rRNA from 1 species
AGCCCUGGGGAACAUCCAGGGUAAGCCCUGCCCGGUGAUAGUUUUAACGGCCGCAGUACCCUGACUGUGCUAAGGUAGCGUAAUCAGUUGACUUUUAAAUGGAGUCGAGAAUGAAUGGGUCUAUGGGGAAUCGCUGUCUCUGGUUUGUUUAUUUGAAUUUAGUUACGGGGUGAAAAUACCCCGAGGCAGAAAAAAGACGAGAAGACCCUUAGAGUCUUGAUUAUAUGGUUUAAGUUAUUUAUCAAGUGUUUUUGUUGGGGCGACAACGAGGCAAAGUUAAACCCUCGUGCUUAAAGAGUACAAGACGAUUAUUAUAAGCAAGAUAAGACUACCUUAGGGAUAACAGCAUAAUGUUUUUAAGCUUGUGACCUCGAUGUUGGACUAGGAACUUUAUGACUAGCCGUCAAAAGAGAGGGUUCUGUUCGAACCACUAUUUCCU